GCGCCUGUAGCUCAACUGGACAGAGCAGCGGACUUCGGAUCCGCGGGUUGGGGGUUCGAGUCCCUCCAGGCGUGCCA
rnacentral:tRNA from 1 species